UGGGGAAUAUUGCACAAUGGGCGCAAGCCUGAUGCAGCCAUGCCGCGUGUAUGAAGAAGGCCUUCGGGUUGUAAAGUACUUUCAGCGGGGAGGAAGGGAGUAAAGUUAAUACCUUUGCUCAUUGACGUUACCCGCAGAAGAAGCACCGGCUAACUCCGUGCCAGCAGCCGCGGUAAUACGGAGGGUGCAAGCGUUAAUCGGAAUUACUGGGCGUAAAGCGCACGCAGGCGGUUUGUUAAGUCAAAUGUGAAAUCCCCGGGCUCAACCUGGGAACUGCAUCUGAUACUGGCAAGCUUGAGUCUCGUAGAGGGGGGUAGAAUUCCAGGUGUAGCGGUGAAAUGCGUAGAGAUCUGGAGGAAUACCGGUGGCGAAGGCGGCCCCCUGGACGAAGACUGACGCUCAGGUGCGAAAGCGUGGGGAGCAAACAGG
rnacentral:rRNA from 1 species